rnacentral:rRNA from 1 species
GCCAACAUUUUUGGGACAAAUGACAAACCUUGAAAGUAUAAUUUUUGAAGCAAAUGAAUUCCAUGGAACAAUUCCGAUUGAAUAUGGGAAUCUCGUUAAUCUUGUUGAGUUUAAUCUCAAUAAUAAUGAUUUAGAGGGCAGCCCGGGGAAUAUUAUUAAAAAGUGGCCAAAACUAGAACUUUUGCUACUAGAUAAGAA